AUACUUACCUGGAUGGGGUCGACAGGUGAUCAAGAAGGCCCGUGGCCUAGGUCAAUGGCCCACAUUGCACUUGGUGGGCGCGUUGGCCUAUCAUCUCCCCGAGUGGGAGAGUGAACGUCGUAAUUUAUGGUAGAGGGGUAUGCGUCCGCGCGGCCCUGC
rfam:Triticum aestivum genome assembly, contig: Triticum_aestivum_CS42_TGACv1_scaffold_033455_1BL